GUGGUAACAAACAUCUGAAGAGAA
rnacentral:piRNA from 1 species